rnacentral:rRNA from 1 species
CUAACGCUGGCGGUAUGCCUUAGACAUGCAAGUCGAACGAGUUUCCGGGCUUGCUCGGAAACUAGUGGCGAACGGCUGAGUAACGCGUAGGUGACCUACCCCGUAGUGUGGAAUAACUGCCCGAAAGGGUAGCUAAUACCGCAUGUUGAGCCGACAUCAGUGUCGUCUCCAAAGUAGCAAUACGCUAGAGGAGGAGCCUGCGCUUGAUUAGCUAGUUGGUGGGGUAAAAGCCUACCAAGGCGACGAUCAAUAACUGGUCUGAGAGGAUGACCAGUCACAAUGGGACUGAGAUACGGCCCAUACUCCUACGGGAGGCAGCAGUAGGGAAUUUUGCGCAAUGGACGAAAGUCUGACGCAGCAAUACCGCGUGUGGGGAGAAGCUCCGUGGAGUGUAAACCACUGUCGGAUGGGAAGAAUUAAUGACGGUACCAUCAAAGGAAGCACCGGCUAACUCCGUGCCAGCAG